AUAAGUAGAUUCCCAACACAACCUCUCUCUCUCUCUCUCAUUGAGCUACCAUAGUCUAUCUCUCUCUAAACCUCGAUCCAGAUUGCCGGUCAAAAUCUCCUUUCAAGUCAGGAAGGAGUGGUAGUUCAAGCACCAUCUUGCUAAGGAAGACAAUGGUGACACAAAUCCGGUUAAGAUCUUGUUCAAAAUUUAGUACCCCUUUUAUUUUUUAUUUUAAUAUUUAUUUUAUUUACUACAAUAUAUAUGCCUGCAUACCAAAAAGAAACAAAUCUAUAAAAACCAUGGGUCUUUGACAUAUGCAUUCUUAGAGGGAUUAACACAGGGUUUAAUGUUAGCCUGGAGGUGUAAAUUUUAGAAAUUGAACUUUUAUAGCUUCAACGUUAUAUAUUAGAAAUUGGACAAUGUAGUCGGAUAACAAGAAUUUUGCAGGUUGCUAAGCAAACUUCGAAGAAAACGGGGGACAGUGCACUUUACUGAAAAAAUGAACAAAUUAACAUCUUUGUUUCUAAAUGUAGCUGGAAUAGCUGUGAAAGGAGUCAAGCAAUGAAACAUCCAGUUACGAAACAAAAAUUGAUAUUGAAUAUCAAAAAGUUGUUUUUAAGUGAACAUGUUACUAAACCUUUUUCCUAUAAGUUAAAAAAUAUUUUAUUCUAAAUGUAUGAAUUACCUACCUAUCAGUAAAUAACUUGCACAUGUUUCUUCUUUGAAUUGGGGUUGUUCAAUGCACUUGCGCAUGAUUCUGUGUUUUUCAUGGAUAUUUUAUUUUGACAUUCGGCUGGUUCAAUUGCACUCUUCAUUAGAGUUGUUCGAUGGCAGAAAGGAAUAAAGGAAUUUGCCAUAAUUGCUAACAGCCAGGCCCUACUUGUUGUCGAAAUGCUCCAGAAAGAAAAGAAGCCCAAAAUGUAGCGAGAGAUUCUUGAAAUGGAUGGAGGUGGAAAAGAAUAGUGAAAACAAGGGACGGCCAUUUCAUUGCUGUAUUCGCUAUUGUUGGCAUUUCAAUAUAUGGACUUGCCAAGCAUGCUAAAAAAUUUGAUCAUAAUUGCCUAGAAAAAGGACUUGGAGAUUUCCCUCAACAUAACUAUUCGCAAGGGAAAACGAGAUUCAGAUGAUGAGGAAAAAGGAAAGACAGGUGUCAAUUAGAUAUAGCCCAGAACUUCGAUGUAAUGCGAUGAUGUUAAUGGUUUCUCUUUGUAUUUGGAUGCAAUUGCUUCUUGAGUUUAAUGUCAGUGGACUUUUAUAUGAAUGUUUCUAAAUGCCUGGCUUAUUCCUUGUGCUACGAGGUGAUCUUCAAUUUCAUUGGCGUUGUAGAAAAAUGUUCAGUUUUUGGGCGGAUUACAUGUAUAUAUGUAUAAAUUUCCAUAUGAUCAUUGAUGUGCGUUUAUUUAGAGUUUUAAGGCCAAUUUUUUUUGAAUAAUUGGAGCUCAUAUCCACCAACCAUAAUGUUGGCAAAUCAGAUUCCCAAAUAUUAAGUUCACGAAUACGCUUAAACCAAGCAUUCAAACUAUAUUUACUUACCGUUUAUGCAAAGAGUUAGCAAACACAUUAUAAAGAUAGACACUGAAUUUAAUUAUCCUACAUGCAUAACAUAUGCAAACUACUUCUCCAAAUCAUUCAAACUGCUUAUCCAAGUUUAGAAGCUUCACAAAAUGAGGACCUUCUACAAUUAGCAGCUUGAUGAAUUCAGGAAUUGAACUGCAUCAACAUUUACUCGCACAACCGGACACGCUCUCUUGUGUCACAAAAUUUUGAGAACAAAAAUUGUUCGUCGUUUGAACUUCCUACACAUUUAAACAAAUAAGAUUUACUACAAACUGCAAGAUGUGAAAAUUGAAUGAGUUAUAUGAUUCGAGUACCUCAACAUUGAAAAAAAAAUUAAAAAAAAUAAGAGUACCUCAACAUUUAAUGGAGAUUUUUUCGAAAAUGACCUUUUCAACAGUUUUUUUUAGGUGCUCCUUUAGUUCUCCAGUAUUUUAGAUUUAAGAUGUCUCCACUGCAAACAUUCCCGUUUCAAAGGAUUGUGAGGCGACUUGAUUGGAUUUUGACGUCGAUUAACCGUUUGGAAUUCGACCCACUCCGUAAUGCGCUUGCAUUGUCCCUCGUCAUGUGCCACCAUGUAAGCUAAUUUGGUAUACUUAAUGCCCAUAACAGAAAAGGAAAAAAAAUUAAAAUAUUCCAAACUCGUAUAGAGCAAUCAAAACUCAAAAGCACACUUUAAUAGAACAAGCAUUUUCCCGUUCACCGAUUUCCUUCAAAAUCAAAACCCAAUCGCUCCAAAUAUAAAAUGCAUAAAGAAUAUAGAACCACCCUCAGAUCCAAUGAAGAUGAAGAAGAAUAAAUGUUACCCAUGCUAUCGCCAACGCAGAAGUGGCCGACAGCAUUGGAGUUGUCUGCUUCCAUUUCAUCUACAUCUCCGAAAUGGUUGAGUUUUGCAUCCACUACAACUGAUGGGGGUGAGAACGUGGGGUUUACCAUCGUGUUGACGUCGACGUUGAGGUUCACGUCGUCGAGGCUCGAAUGGGUUUUGACGUCCUUCCAUUUCGGUCGAUUGGUG
rnacentral:lncRNA from 1 species